AUUGAACGCUGGCGGCAUGCUUUACACAUGCAAGUCGAACGGCAGCGCGGGCUUCGGCCUGGCGGCGAGUGGCGAACGGGUGAGUAAUGCAUCGGAACGUGCCCAGUAGUGGGGGAUAGCCCGGCGAAAGCCGGAUUAAUACCGCAUACGACCUGAGGGUGAAAGCGGGGGACCGAAAGGCCUCGCGCUAUUGGAGCGGCCGAUGUCGGAUUAGCUAGUUGGUGGGGUAAAGGCUUACCAAGGCGACGAUCCGUAGCUGGUCUGAGAGGACGACCAGCCACACUGGGACUGAGACACGGCCCAGACUCCUACGGGAGGCAGCAGUGGGGAAUUUUGGACAAUGGGGGUAACCCUGAUCCAGCCAUGCCGCGUGCGGGAAGAAGGCCUUCGGGUUGUAAACCGCUUUUGUUCGGGAAGAAAUCCUCUGGGCUAAUACCCCGGGGGGAUGACGGUACCGGAAGAAUAAGCACCGGCUAACUACGUG
rnacentral:rRNA from 1 species